rnacentral:rRNA from 1 species
UACGGGGGGACCUAGCGUUGUUCGGAAUCACUGGGCGUAAAGCGCGUGUAGGUGGCUUUUCAAGUCAACUGUGAAAGCCCAGGGCCUAACCCUGGAAGUGCAGUUGAUACUGUUGAGCUUGAGUACGAGAGAGGAUAGUGGAAUUCCUGGUGUAGUGGUGAAAUACGUAGAUAUCAGGAGGAACAUCGGUGGCGAAGGCGGCUAUCUGGCUCGAUACUGACACUGAGAUGCGAAAGCGUGGGGAGCAAACAGG